rnacentral:rRNA from 1 species
GACGAACGCUGGCGGCGUGCUUAACACAUGCAAGUCGAACGGAAAGGCCCUGCUUUUGUGGGGUGCUCGAGUGGCGAACGGGUGAGUAACACGUGAGUAACCUGCCCUUGACUUUGGGAUAACUUCAGGAAACUGGGGCUAAUACCGGAUAGGAGCUCCUGCUGCAUGGUGGGGGUUGGAAAGUUUCGGCGGUUGUGGAUGGACUCGCGGCUUAUCAGCUUGUUGGUGGGGUAGUGGCUUACCAAGGCUUUGACGGGUAGCCGGCCUGAGAGGGUGACCGGCCACAUUGGGACUGAGAUACGGCCCAGACUCCUACGGGAGGCAGCAGUGGGGAAUAUUGCACAAUGGGCGGAAGCCAGAUGCAGCAACGCCGCGUGCGGGAUGACGGCCUUCGGGUUGUAAACCGCUUUCGCCGGUGACGAAGCGUGAGUGACGGUAAUGGGUAAAGAAGCACCGGCUAACUACGUG